GAGCAGAAUAUAUUAUGCAUCAUCUAAAGUUAAAAAAAAAAAAGCAGGAAUUGCAAUCAUGAUGCCAGACAAAACCAAAGUAGAAAUUGAUCUAGAUUAAAAGAGGUAAGGAAGGAAAUUACAUUUUGCUAAAAGGUACUAUAAACAUUGAAGUAAUAGCAUUACUAAAUAUUUAUGCACCAAAAGGUAUAGCAUCUCAAUUUCUAAAGGAAAAAUUAAAGAAGCUCAAGGAGGAAAUACAUAGUAAGACCAUUCUACUAGGAGAUCUUAAACUUUCCCUUUUAGAACUAAAUACAUUGAACCAAAAAAUAAAUAAGUAAGAAGUAAGGGAAGUAAAUGAAAUGCUAGAAAAAUUAGAGUUAGUAGAUAUCUGGAGAAAACUGAACAGGGAUAUGUGAAUUUUAAAACUAUUCCACCCUUAUCAAACCAUUCUUUAGAAGAUCUCAUUUAGAUAUUUCCUGAUCAAUAACAAUGGAUACUUAGAAUAACAGAAUCAGGUCUUGGAAACCCACAUUCUCCACCCUACUCAGUAUAACAAGAUUUUGAAAGGUCUGCAUUAAACUCAAGAUUUAAUUAUCUGAGGAGAUGGCCUUCAACAGACAUGUGCAAAAGAAGGACAGACCUCUGCACUCUCCUAAGUCAAGGUUGAGCCACCAUUGGCACAUGUGAGACACAGGAAGUGAGGUAGAGAAUGGCCUCUGGAUUUCUCGUGACUUCCUGUGGAUAGGGCUAGAGUUCAAUUCGAUCCUGGAGUUUAAGCUUAGAGGAGCCCCGCAGACAGCUUUCCUUCAGAUCAGCCAUGUGAGUGGGAUGGGGGAUCCAGGAUGGCAGCCAAAGUGAGGUGCUCGGUAGAAUGUGGCUUAUGGAAGACCUGCAUGUGAUGUAUGUCAAACAGCCUCAAUCUUGAACCUCAAAGAGGUGGCUCUGGCUGGGAACUUCCUGUGAGCAGGUCUGGGCACCAGCUUGGUCCUGGAACUCGAUCCUGGAGGAGCUCCCUCAGACAGCUUCCUUGAGACAGUCAUGUGGUGAGUGAUAAGACUGACUCCCUUUUCCCUUGGCUCUAAGGGGAGGUCUCUUGGUCAAGAUCUUGAACUCCUGCCUGGCUCAGCCUGAGCUGGAG
rnacentral:lncRNA from 1 species